GGGGGWKGCAAGCGUUGUUCGGAAUUACUGGACGUAAAGGGCUCGUAGGUGGCCAACUAAGUCAGACGUGAAAUCCCUCGGCUUAACCGGGGAACUGCGUCUGAUACUGGAUGGCUUGAGUUCGGGAGAGGGAUGCGGAAUUCCAGGUGUAGCGGUGAAAUGCGUAGAUAUCUGGAGGAACACCGGUGGCGAAGGCGGCUACCUGGACCGGUUCUGACGCUGAUGCGCGAAAGCGUGGGGAGCAAACAGGAUUAGAUACCCUGGUAGUCCACGCUGUAAACGAUGGGUGCUCGGUGUCGCGGGUAUCKACCCCUGCGGUGCCUUAKCUAACGCGUUAAGCACCCCGCCUGGGGAGUACGGUCGCAAGGCUG
rnacentral:rRNA from 1 species